GGGGGGCGUGCUACACAUGCAGUCCGACGUGAAAGGGGAGCAAUCCCCCGGUAGGGUGGCAAACGGGUGAGUAAGACAUGGGUGAUCUGCCCUGGAGAUGGGGAUAUCCCUCCGAAAGGGGGGGCAAUACCGAAUAGUAUCCGGUUCCGUGAAGGGGGCCGGGGAAAGGGAGGCCUCUGGUACAAGCUUCCGCUCCUGGAUGAGCCCAUGGCCCAUCAGCUAGUUGGUAGGGUAAAGGCCUACCAAGGCGACGACGGGUAGCUGGUCUGAGAGGACAACCAGCCACACUGGCACUGAGACACGGGCCAGACUCCUACGGGAGGCAGCAGUGAGGAAUAUUGCGCAAUGGGGGCAACCCUGACGCAGCAACGCCGCGUGUGGGAAGAAGGCUUUCGGGUUGUAAACCACUUUUGCCCGGGACGAAAGGGGGGGCCUGAAUAAGGUCACCCGAUGACGGUACCGGGAGAAUAAGCCACGGCUAACUCUGUGCCAGCAGCCGCGGUAAGACAGAGGUGGCAAGCGUUGUUCGGAGUUACUGGGCGUAAAGAGUCUGUAGGUGGUCUGUCAAGUCUUUGGUGAAAGGCCGUGGCUUAACCAUGGGAAUGCCAAAGAGACUGGCAGACUGGAGGCUGGGAGAGGGAAGCGGAAUUUCUGGUGUAGCGGUGAAAUGCGUAGAGAUCUGGAGGAACAUCAGUGGCGAAGGCGGCCACCUGGCCCAAUACUGACGCUGAGGCACGAAAGCGUGGGGAGCAAACAGGAUUAGAUACCCU
rnacentral:rRNA from 1 species